ensembl:lncRNA
GGGGGUCACCUCGAGAAAUUUAGAGAGAGGGAGGGGAGAGCUUCAUUACGCACAAUCUAGUAGUCGCUCAGUGUCUCGCUGACAUGUGCUAAUUGUCCUUGUGUUACGACAGAACGACUUGGUCUUUUUUUUUAGGUGGAGGGGGAGUUCACAGAGCUUUACCCAUCGCACCACACAUCGCUGCUGUCCAAACUUCUGCGCUUAUCCAGCGCGAUCAUCGGAGGUUUUCAGCGCCAUCACCUGCGGAGAGCUUGGUCCACGGCGCAUCGAGGCUGGGACAGUGACAUGGCUUCUCUGCUGCUGCUCCUUCAUCUCUUGCCACCCACAGCUGGACGGAAGAAGAGCAAAAUCAGUGCCAGUGAUGCAGUGGAAAAAAUGGUUCAUUUUCACAAGUCGUGCUGCAGUAUUGAUGAACACCUGCGUGGGAGAAAGGGUCAACAACCGUACAUCCUUGCUGCUGGUCGCACCCAGAACAAGAUUGACACCUUCUAUAUCGUCGUUGACAAACAGUUCAUCCCCUGCCAUGCCACCAGCUUCUAAGGUGCUUUUGAUGAACUUUUCAAAUCACACUACGUGUUCAACCUGUCAUACGAGGAGUCCCUGGUCCAGCUCUACACAUUUGUGCAGACAACAGUACUCUACAACAUCGAUGUCACAACAACAGACGAGUCUCUUGAAGAAUCCGUGAGUUGCGGGCAAAACUCCUGAACUAGGAUUAAAACAUGUUUAAGUGUUUCAUAUGUGAAGCUGUACACCAGACUGUCCAGUCCUUGGUAACCCAUUUAAGAAUUGAUCACAGUUUCUAUCCUAGCAGCAGUUUUAAGUUGGUUUGUGCACAAGAUCGUUGUAGGCGUCAGUUUUUGUCAUAUUCUAGUUUAAAAAAACAUUUAAUGAGAGUUCAUGAGGAGAGUUUUGUCAAAGUGGUGUUGCAGCAAACCCGGAGUCCUUUCAACCUAUCUAUCAGUGUCCAAAGUACUUCAGAAGUUGGUGAAACAGGUGUCCCACAGAGCUUAAAGGCUGGUUGUUUUGAGGACAAUGUAUCUGGUGUUAACAAAGAACAUACUAAAAAUAUCUGUGCUUCAAUUGUUGCUAAACUUCAAGAAAGUGGUAUGGCAAAUAGUCUUGUUUCAACAAUUGUUAGUGAUUUGGAGGAACUUGCUACUGGACUGCACUCCCAAGUUAAGCAAGAAAUACUAUCUGCUGUGCCUAAAGACAAUCAUAUCCGAUCUACAUUAGAAGGUCUUGAUACUUUUGAAAAUCCAUUUGUAAGAUUUAAUACUGAAACUAAAAGAAUAAGAUAUUUCAACGAAAAAUGGGGUGUUGUUGAGCCUGUAGAAAUAAUGUUAGGACAUUGAUUCGAUACAAGGCGAAAUAAACAAACCGUUUACUUAUGAUCAAGUUCAAGUAAAAUAAACUUUUUUUUACGUUCCAAUUUUGGAAACGAUCCAAUUCAUGUGCCGCAAUUCUGAUAUGUGUAAAUUGCUUGGGAAAAACGUUUGUAUCGAAAACGGACAAAUUUGAAGACUAUUGUGAUGGUAGUUAUUUUAAGACGCAUGCAUUGUUCUCUAAACGGACUUCUUUACAAAUUCAGAUGUACUAUGAUGACUUUGAAACUGCUAACCCACCGGGUUCAAAACGCGGUAUUCACAAAAUGGGAGCUCUCUAUUUUGUCCUUAGAAAUCUGCCACCAAAGUUUAACUCUGCUGUGAUGAACAUCCAUUUGGUCGCACUGUUUCACACUGAAGAUGUGAAAAAAUAUGGCUUUGAUCCUAUUCUUCAGCUUCUGAUAAAUUACAUUAAAACAAUGGAACGUCACGGUCUUGACUUGCCCUUCUCCACUGAAAAAGUCCAUGGCACUAUGUCAGAUAACUGGGGACAACUUAGGAAUGCAUGCAAUUCUAGGGUUUACAGAGUCUUUUAAUGGACGUUAUUACUGUCGUUUAUGUUACAUGGAUAAGGUGAUGCCCAGAAUGUUAACAGAGGAGCUUUUUGAAAUGCACUGCAAUGAGUUGCAAUCAGACCCACAGAAGUUCUCAGUGUUUGGUUUAAAAAGGAAUUCAACUCGGAAAAAGUUACUUUUGGAAUAUCUCUCAGAACAUGUUCUGUCAAAGCCUGAUCUUUUUUCCAGAAUUUAUGCUUUUGACUAUGGGUACUUGGGCGAAAAAACCGUCCAACAAGGAUUUACUUAAGACAGUAUUGGCAAUAACAUCGGCCUCAAUUCCAAUCAUACUCUUUGUCCCAUGAGGAACAUCCCUUUACUUUUUGGUGACAUUGUGCCAGCAGGAAACAAAAACUGGCUUUUGCCAUUGAUUUUGCUGCAGAUAUCAACAUCAUAUUUUCUCCUUCUGUUACACUAGGCAUGACUGUACUUUUAAAACAUCUAAUAAUGGAACAUCAUGACUUGUUCAAACAGUUGAAUCCGCACAGAAACCUGAUCCCAAAACAUAAUUUCAUGAUACACUACCGAGCUUGCAUAAGAAAAAUAGGGCCUCUACUUAAUAUGUGGAGCAUGAGAUUUGAAGCAGAACUUUAAGUAUUCAAGAACACUCUUAAAAACUUCAAGAACAUCACCAAUCUCUUGCCAAAAAACAUCAAAUGUCUAUAGGAUAUCAUUGGGAGACAUCACCUUUAAACCAUAUUGAGUAUGGACCGUUGAAACCAUUUCAUUUUGAUGAGGAUAGUGAGAGGAUUGCCCGAGCCCUUCAUGCUAGGGCUGAACGAUUUCAGGAAAAGAUUGAAUUGUGAUUUUUCUGGCAGAUAUUGCGAUUUCGAUUUUCUUCAAAUCAAGCUUCAGUGCAAUAUUCACAAUGUACAGUAAUAUUUACAAACAUGACAUCAUACCAUUAAAACAUUACAUGCCAUUACUCUAAUGUAAGAAUGAAAACUAAAGUUAAGAAUUGAUUUUAAAUGUAUUUAUCAAGAAACAUGCAUGUAAACUAAAGUCCUUGACCAACUGCAGUUGUUACAAAUUAACUAAAAGAGCCAUCUUUGACUGUCUUAACUUAGAAAAGUACUACUACUUUUUAGUUGUUUUUUUAAGACAGUCAAAGAUGGCUCUUUUAGUUAAUUUGUGCAUUAGAGUAUAACAACAAAGGGAGAGACGUCGGAGAACCCAACGCAGUCUAUUCAUAAUAUUGUAAUGACAGUGAAUGAAGUAUUGAAUAGACAGAGAUUUAUUAGAUAGGCCUACCUAAUAAACCGUUGGAACACACAAGACCGGAAACAUAGCAACGCCGGUAAACAAACCCCGAGAAGCCAUAUCCCUAUGACAGCUCCCCGCGCUAAGGCCAUCCGGAGGCGCACAGAGCUUUUGGCCGUGAUAUUAUGUAUACAAUUAAAUUAUAUUAUAUUAUAUAUAGAGCUCCGGGAGUCGCAAACGGCAACAUUCACUUUCUCCUCCAUGCUGCAGUUCACCCCGGACUGAACUGCACUGAGUUUGACGGUUGAACGCUGAUUGGCUGUUACGUUACACAUGUGACUCAGUGGCCACGCUGUUGAACGCAUGUUAACGCUGUUAACCAUAGCAACACCAGUAAACAAACGCCGGUAAACAAACCCCUCGAAGAGAGCUCCCAGCCCUACGGCCAUCCGGAGGCUCACACAGCUUUUGGCCAUGAUAUUAUACAAUUAUAUUAUAUUAAUUCGCCCGAUUCGCGUCUCUACAUUGACGCGUGAAUGCACAGUAAAACCGAAAAAAACGUGUCUUUGGCGAUCCCGAGAUCGCGUUGACUGAAAUCGUGAUUUCGAUCAGAAAACGAUAAAUCGUUCAGCCCUACUUCAUGCUGUACCGAAAGACAUCUUCUCGACUAACUGGGUUAGAAUCUGUGGGACAGAGUACAGGACAGGACUAGUUGUUUGCAGAGAGAUUAAACAUGAAAUGCCAGUGUUUUGCAGAAUACAAAAGAUUAUUUUAGUUGACAGUGUUAUGUACUUCCUAGUGACAAAACUUGUGGUUGAUCAUUUCAGUGAACGUUUUCAUGCCUACCAAGUAUUUGAAAGUGAUGACAAAGAUGUUAUAAAAGCAGACAGUCUUGAAAUGUAUAAGCCCUUUGCCUUACAAAAUGCCUUUGGUAGAGAUGAGAACCAAUAUAUUGUACCUUUGUUUUCAUUUUAAAUAUGCAUAUGUUGUGUACAUAUCCUAUUCCUCACGCACUGGUUGUUCUGGUCAACUGUAACUUUUUUAUACAAAGUUGUGUUGCAUGUCAAUUUCUGAAAUGUGUAAAUAUAUUUAUUUUGGCCUAUUUCCACCUUUCUCAUAUCCACACUGGAGUGGUUCAUUAGAGAGAAGAGUGGAGGAGAGACAUUAUCUGUCAAUGCGUUUGAUGCCUGGAUCUUGUGUUCAAUAUUGUUUGUGAGCUGCAAUGUUGAAUAAAAAAAAUAAACUUUAUACUGUAGCAAUGUGUCUUACAGUUGAAUAUAGAAGCAUUUCAAACUUGGUGUAAAUGAUGAACUGAAACUUAG